rnacentral:rRNA from 1 species
UACGAAGGGGGCGAGCGUUGUUCGGAAUUACUGGGCGUAAAGGGCGCGCAGGCGGCUCUGAAAGUCAGAUGUGAAAGCCCCGGGCUUAACCUGGGAACUGCAUUUGAUACUCGUGAGCUUGAGUACGGGAGAGGAUAGUGGAAUUCCCAGUGUAGAGGUGAAAUUCGUAGAUAUUGGGAAGAACACCGGUGGCGAAGGCGGCUAUCUGGACCGUAACUGACGCUGAGGCGCGAAAGCGUGGGGAGCAACAGG